rnacentral:ncRNA from 1 species
UUUUAAAUUUUACUCUAGUUUAAAUCAUUUUUUAUUUUAGUGAAUAUAUGUAUUAUUUAUUAGUGUUUUAAUUAAAUUUAAUAUUUAUAAGAUUUUAUAUUUUCAGUAUAUAAUUUUAAUUAAGUAAUCAAAGUUAUUUUUAGACAUAAAAUUUAAUUAUAACAAAAAUUGUGCCAGCAGUUUCGGUUAAACAGUUGUAGUAAAAAAUGAUUAUUGGUUUUUAUAAAUUAUUUAAUUAUAUUAUUUUAAUUAUAUUAUUUGGUGGAAUUUUAAUAUAUUUAAAUAUGAGGUUUAUUAUUAUAAUAAAGUUUAAAAAAGACUAGGAUUAGAUACCCUAUUAUGUUUACAUUAAUUUUAUUAACCUAUUAUUAUUAGCUUUGAUCUAUAAAAUUAAAGGGUUUGGCGGUUUUUUAAUCUUUUCAGAGGAAUCUGUUUCUUAAUUGAUAUUCCACGAUUAAUUUUACCUUAAUUAAUAAAUUUGUAUAUCGUUGUCUUGAUUAUUUUAGAAAAAUAUUUUCUUUUUUUUUAUUUAAUUGAUAGCAGAUCAAGGUGCAGUUAUAUUAAGGAGAGAAUGGAUUACAUUUUUUUUAUAAUCUAAUUAAUUAUUUGAAAUAAUGUUAUAAAGUUGGAUUUGAAAGUAAUAUAUAAUUAUUUUAUAUUUGUGAAUUAAGCUCUAGACUAUGUACAUAUCGCCCGUCAAUUUCAUUUGAAUUGAAAUAAGUCGUAACAAAGUAGAUUUACUGGAAAGUGUAUCUAGAGUAA